AAUGUGAGGUAGAAUCGGUCUGUUAAUUAUGUAAUAUUUUUUCACAUAGGAUGCUCAGACAGCAGAGGAAGGGGCAGAGCAGAACGAUGGAGAGGUGGCUGGAGCUUCAGGGCUCCAGGAGGCAGUCAGUGUGAGUGCCAGUGACCAGGGAAGUCAAGGCAGCAGUGCCCUGGACAUGGGGAGUGCGCCAUACCAGCCUGAUGUAAAAUUCAUUGCAGCACAGCAGCUGCCCAAUAAAAGGUUGCUGUUUCAGGCCAAAUGGUUUAGCCUCUUCCCAUGGCUGCAUUAUAGCCCCACCAUGCAAAAAGUUCUUUGUUUUGAGUGUGUCAAAGCCUUUACCAUCAAAACGACCUCCUU